GGGUCACGUCAUGCGGGCGUUUGGAUUAAUACCUACCGGCGCUCGUUGGUCGCCCCUGAAAUUGGGGGCUUCGUGGCGGAAGAGUGACCAUGGAAACGAGUGAGUGAGAGAGAGAGAUAUGAAAGGCAAAGGGGGAAGGAUGGAGCGGUGGAAGGAUUGCAGGGAAUCUAAGGUGGAGGUGAAUAGGAUUUGAAGAUGCCAAUUCAUCAAAAGAAACAACACUGAGAUGAUACAAUUUGAUUUUACAAAAUUGAGACAUACCCCAUUCUGCAGAAAUAUUUCUCAGCAUGCCACAAGGUGGUGUGAAAGACAAACAUACUAUUUGCAAAAAGAGGAAAUGGUUGCCCAGGUUUGAUGAUGUGUACAACUACUCAGAGGAAAGAAAUUCUGAACAGUAAUGCAAAAUUGAGAGUUAAAUUUCAGAAGCCACUGUACCACCGAGCUAUGAGAUGCUGGGUUAAUUUUUUAUGAGUCACCUGGUGUGGAUUGCAGAAUCCAGCCAUAAUAUUGAGUCAACGACCUACGCACUGAAAGUUUGCAAGAUUUACUCCUGUGUUUCUAUGUUAGGCUUUGUGGGAUUUUUUUUUGUAAUAAGGGAUUGAAGUGCUGAGAAAAAGAUUUAUUUUCUUUCCUGAUUUUGAGCCCUUAAGGAGAAGUUCAGUGAGCAUCUACUCAACGGAAUACAAAUCCAGUCCCUAUAGUGGUAAAGCCCCAUCACUUGACCCAGUUUCCAUUCUAACAAGGCUCCACACUGGGAGUAGAGCUUUGCUGAGUUUCCCCUUUAAUGUUAGAAAUUCAAGACAAAGAUUGAUAGAUAUUUGGAUUCUGAAGGAACCAAGGGAUAUGGCAAUUGAUCAUGAAUGUGAAAUUGAUGUCAAAGGUGAACCAUGAAUACACUGAAGAGGCAGUGAGAUGAACACUUGAAGAAAGUAUUCAAAUUUCAAACAGGUGGGAUUAGACUACUUAUUCCUGAUUUAGCAGAGGCUGUUUUUUUGUUCUAAGUCUGUUAUGAUAAUGGUUUCUACCCUGAGGCUAGAUAUGUUUAACAUGUGGAAAAGGUCCUAGUCAUCUCAACAAUUUACAGGUUGAGUGCAUUAUAACUGUUUUUCUUCCCAGAUUUAGUAACAUUACAAAGGUCUAAUUGCAGACUUUUGUCAGCACAAAUUAAAAGUGGAUGCAAACUAAUUUUAUGGAAAUGAAAGCUGUUAUAACUCUGACAGGAGGAGGCUGCUGGUGAUCAAACCCCACUACUCCAUAAAUUAUAUUGUAAAUGUAUUUUUGAAUCUCCAGUAUGGUAAAUUUAUCUAACUUUUGUACUGCUAUCCAGAAUAAAUUAAAUGUUCACUUGGCUUCUUUACUGAA